AGAGUUUGAUUCUGGCUCAGAACGAACGCUGGCGGCGUGGAUAAGACAUGCAAGUCGAACGAGAGAAUUGCUAGCUUGCUAAUGAUUCUCUAGUGGCGCACGGGUGAGUAACACGUGAGUAACCUGCCCCCGAGAGCGGGAUAGCCCUGGGAAACUGGGAUUAAUACCGCAUAGUAUCGAAAGAUUAAAGCAGCAAUGCGCUUGGGGAUGGGCUCGCGGCCUAUUAGUUAGUUGGUGAGGUAACGGCUCACCAAGGCGAUGACGGGUAGCCGGUCUGAGAGGAUGUCCGGCCACACUGGAACUGAGACACGGUCCAGACACCUACGGGUGGCAGCAGUCGAGAAUCAUUCACAAUGGGGGAAACCCUGAUGGUGCGACGCCGCGUGGGGGAAUGAAGGUCUUCGGAUUGUAAACCCCUGUCAUGUGGGAGCAAAUUAAAAAGAUAGUACCACAAGAGGAAGAGACGGCUAACUCUGUGCCAGCAGCCGCGGUAAUACAGAGGUCUCAAGCGUUGUUCGGAAUCACUGGGCGUAAAGCGUGCGUAGGCUGUUUCGUAAGUCGUGUGUGAAAGGCGCGGGCUCAACCCGCGGACGGCACAUGAUACUGCGAGACUAGAGUAAUGGAGGGGGAACCGGAAUUCUCGGUGUAGCAGUGAAAUGCGUAGAUAUCGAGAGGAACACUCGUGGCGAAGGCGGGUUCCUGGACAUUAACUGACGCUGAGGCACGAAGGCCAGGGGAGCGAAAGGGAUUAGAUACCCCUGUAGUCCUGGCAGUAAACGGUGCACGCUUGGUGUGCGGGGAAUCGACCCCCUGCGUGCCGGAGCUAACGCGUUAAGCGUGCCGCCUGGGGAGUACGGUCGCAAGAUUAAAACUCAAAGAAAUUGACGGGGACCCGCACAAGCGGUGGAGUAUGUGGCUUAAUUCGAUGCAACGCGAAGAACCUUACCUGGGCUUGACAUGUAAUGAACAACAUGUGAAAGCAUGCGACUCUUCGGAGGCGUUACACAGGUGCUGCAUGGCCGUCGUCAGCUCGUGUCGUGAGAUGUUUGGUUAAGUCCAGCAACGAGCGCAACCCCUGUUGCCAGUUACCAGCACGUGAAGGUGGGGACUCUGGCGAGACUGCCCAGAUCAACUGGGAGGAAGGUGGGGACGACGUCAGGUCAGUAUGGCCCUUAUGCCCAGGGCUGCACACGUACUACAAUGCCCAGUACAGAGGGGGCCGAAGCCGCGAGGCGGAGGAAAUCCUAAAAACUGGGCCCAGUUCGGACUGUAGGCUGCAACCCGCCUACACGAAGCCGGAAUCGCUAGUAAUGGCGCAUCAGCUACGGCGCCGUGAAUACGUUCCCGGGUCUUGUACACACCGCCCGUCACAUCAUGGAAGCCGGUCGCACCCGAAGUAUCUGAAGCCAACCGCAAGGAGGCAGGGUCCUAAGGUGAGACUGGUAACUGGGAUGAAGUCGUAACAAGGUAGCCGUAGGGGAACCUGCGG
rnacentral:rRNA from 1 species